AACGUAGGUUCCGAGCGUUAUCCGGAUUUACUGGGCGUAAAGCGCGUUCAGGCGGUUUGGCAAGUCGGGCAUGAAAUCUCUCGGCUCAACCGGGAGAGGUUGUCCGAUACUUCCAGACUUGAGGGCAGUAGAGGGUGGUGGAAUUCCGGGUGUAGUGGUGAAAUGCGUAGAUAUCCGGAGGAACACCAGUGGCGAAGGCAAUCCCCUGGGCCUGCACUGACGCUCAUGCACGAAAGCGUGGGGAGCAAACAGG
rnacentral:rRNA from 1 species